rnacentral:rRNA from 1 species
AUACGAAAGGUGCAAGCGUUGUUCGGAUUUACUGGGCGUAAAGAGAGUGUAGGUUGUUUAUUAAGUCGGAUGUGAAAUCCCGGGGCUCAACCUCGGAACUGCAUUCGAUACUGGUAGACUAGAGUUCGGGAGGGGUAAGCGGAAUUCCGUGUGUAGCAGUGAAAUGCGUAGAUAUACGGAGGAACACCUGAGGCGAAGGCGGCUUACGGGACCGAUACUGACACUGAGACUCGAAAGCGCGGGUAGCAAACAGGAUUAGAAACCCUAGUAGUCC